rnacentral:rRNA from 1 species
UUUAUGGAGAGUUUGAUCCUGGCUCAGGAUGAACGCUGGCGGCGUGCCUAAUACAUGCAAGUCGAGCGAACGGACGAGAAGCUUGCUUCUCUGAUGUUAGCGGCGGACGGGUGAGUAACACGUGGAUAACCUACCUAUAAGACUGGGAUAACUUCGGGAAACCGGAGCUAAUACCGGAUAAUAUUUUGAACCGCAUGGUUCAA